rnacentral:miRNA from 1 species
AUUGAAUCAUCUGGGGAGCUUGUUCAAAUGCAGAUUCUAAUUCUAUAAAUCAGAUCUGAGGUUCAGCAUUUCUAACAAGCUCCUAGGUGAAGCCUGU